rnacentral:rRNA from 1 species
CCUACGGGAGGCUGCAGUGGGGAAUAUUGCACAAUGGGCGCAAGCCUGAUGCAGCCAUGCCGCGUGUGUGAAGAAGGCCUUCGGGUUGUAAAGCACUUUCAGCGGGGAGGAAGGCGUUAAGGUUAAUAACCUUGUCGAUUGACGUUACCCGCAGAAGAAGCACCGGCUAACUCCGUGCCAGCAGCCGCGGUAAUACGGAGGGUGCAAGCGUUAAUCGGAAUUACUGGGCGUAAAGCGCACGCAGGCGGUCUGUCAAGUCGGAUGUGAAAUCCCCGGGCUCAACCUGGGAACUGCAUUCGAAACUGGCAGGCUAGAGUCUUGUAGAGGGGGGUAGAAUUCCAGGUGUAGCGGUGAAAUGCGUAGAGAUCUGGAGGAAUACCGGUGGCGAAGGCGGUCCCCUGGACAAAGACUGACGCUCAGGUGCGAAAGCGUGGGGAGCAAACAGGAUUAGAUACCCGAGUAGUC